rnacentral:tRNA from 1 species
AUAAGACCUGCAGGACUCUACCCUACAUCUUCUGAAUGCAACCCAGACACUUUAACUAAGCUAAGACCUU